CUUUUAUCUCCUUCGAUUUUAGUUUCCAUCUUCUCCUCCUCUUCGUUCAUGUUUCUCUCCGUCGAAAGAAAUCGAAAAUCAAACAUUCAAUUCUGAAAGAGGCGAUACAAAAACUGUGAUUUGAUCAAAACUUCUUUUCAUAGAGUCUCCAACAAUUUUUUCUCCCUACCCUGUUUAUUCUCUGCUACUUGAACAAAUGUUUUCCUGGUGUUAGGUUUCAAACUUUGGGGUUCUGGAAGAAAAAGAUGAAGCGAAAGAUUUAUGGUUGCCCAAGUAAAGACGUAUGAAUAUUGAUUCAAAACUCGAAACUGCUUCUGAUUUUCUAAAGGUGUACAGGAGAGGUACGAAACUUAGCUGCUGGUGGUGGCCAUUGAUCUAUGCUGGCUGAUUCAUGUUCCUAGAAAGAGUUGUUUGAAUUCAGCCUUGCUGACUGUGUGAUUCCCUCAAAUAUGCCUGUGAUAAGUUGUGUACGUCUUAACAGAGAAUAUCAAAUAUAUAAGAGAAUCUUAUCUGUGUGUAACACAAAAAAAAAAAAAAAAAAACCCGAGAACGAUACCUUUUAUAGGCUUACAUGUUUCUGCCUAAAUAUAAUAUGUGAGAACAUUUUAUUUGUGUAGAUUUUAGAGACUAUUCAAUGAAAGUUUGUUUUGUAGGUUUUA